AUGUAAGCUCUUUCUUUUUGAUACCCAAUUAGAACCCGUCGGUCUGGGGUCUCAUUCAUGAUGUCACUUUGCAGUCGGUAGAGUGUUCACCAGAUGGAUUGGGCGAUCAUGUUGUAUAUGUCAAACAGCAGGUCGCCGGGUGCCCUUCGCCUCAGCUUCCCUGAUUCUCUCGUCCUGCUCUUUGCGGUAAAGGAUGUCCUCCGCCAAGGAGUAGAAAGACUGAGUGCCAUGAGCAGAAGUGGCCAUGAGUUG